rnacentral:misc_RNA from 1 species
CAGGGUCUAACGACUGCCCAAACCAAACCGUGAAUAACUCCCUACUUUUCUGCUUCGGCGGGCCGCUCGCUGGGGGAGCCUCGGGCCGCCGCCUCGUUGCGGUGGUGGUCCGCCGAAGCAAACCAAAUUUACACUCUUGAAUUUACUUCUGAGAAUCAACUUUCUGAAAAGAAAAAAACGAUCA